rnacentral:rRNA from 1 species
CCUACGGGAGGCUGCAGUCGAGAAUCAUUCACAAUGGGGGAAACCCUGAUGGUGCGACGCCGCGUGGGGGAAUGAAGGUCUUCGGAUUGUAAACCCCUGUCAUGUGGGAGCAAAUUAAAAAGAUAGUACCACAAGAGGAAGAGACGGUUAACUCUGUGCCAGCAGCCGCGGUAAUACAGAGGUCUCAAGCGUUGUUCGGAAUCACUGGGCGUAAAGCGUGCGUAGGCUGUUUCGUAAGUCGUGUGUGAAAGGCGCGGGCUCAACCCGCGGACGGCACAUGAGACUGCGAGACUAGAGUAAUGGAGGGGGAACCGGAAUUCUCGGUGUAGCAGUGAAAUGCGUAGAUAUCGAGAGGAACACUCGUGGCGAAGGCGGGUUCCUGGACAUUAACUGACGCUGAGGCACGAAGGCCAGGGGAGCAAACAGGAUUAGAUACCCGAGUAGUC